rnacentral:rRNA from 1 species
AUUUGAAAUCUGGCGUCUUCGGCGUCCGAGUUGUAAUUUGAAGAAGGUAACUUUGGGGCUGGUCCUUGUCUAUGUUCCUUGGAACAGGACGUCAUAGAGGGUGAGAAUCCCGUGUGGCGAGGAUCCCAGUCCUUUGUAAAGUGCUUUCGACGAGUCGAGUUGUUUGGGAAUGCAGCUCUAAGUGGGUGGUAAAUUCCAUCUAAAGCUAAAUAUUGGCGAGAGACCGAUAGCGAACAAGUACAGUGAUGGAAAGAUGAAAAGAACUUUGAAAAGAGAGUGAAAAAGUACGUGAAAUUGUUGAAAGGGAAGGGCAUUUGAUCAGACAUGGCGUUUGCUUCGGCUUUCGCUGGGCCAGCAUCAGUUUUGGCGGUUGGAUAAAUCCUCGGGAAUGUGGCUCUACUUGUAGAGUGUUAUAGCCCGUGGGAAUACAGCCAGCUGGGACU